UGGGGGAUAUUGCACAAUGGGCGAAAGCCUGAUGCAGCGACGCCGCGUGGGGGAUGAAGGCUUUCGGGUUGUAAACCUCUUUCGCUAUCGAACGAGGCCCGCUUAGGGUGGGUUGAGGGUAGGUGGAGAAGAAGCGCCGGCUAACUACGUGCCAGCAGCCGCGGUAAUACGUAGGGCGCGAGCGUUGUCCGGAAUUAUUGGGCGUAAAGGGCUUGUAGGCGGCUUGUUGCGCCUGCUGUGAAAACGCGGGGCUUAACUUCGCGCGUGCAGUGGGUACGGGCAGGCUUGAGUGUGGUAGGGGUGACUGGAAUUCCAGGUGUAGCGGUGGAAUGCGCAGAUAUCUGGAGGAACACCGAUGGCGAAGGCAGGUCACUGGGCCAUUACUGACGCUGAGGAGCGAAAGCAUGGGUAGCGAACAGG
rnacentral:rRNA from 1 species